UGAGUACGAGAUGCUACGGCAUCGAAGCAGUCUAUGUCAUACUUCCAAGAAAAGCUUGCACUGUCAUAAACAAAGAAUGCCUGUACCAUAACCGACACAGGUGGGUAGGUAGAGUAUACUAAGGGGCGCGAGAUAACUCUCUCUAAGGAACUCGGCAAAAUGACUCCGUAACUUCGGGAGAAGGAGUGCCUUAUUUCUAAGGUUGCAAUAACAAGAUCCAAGCAACUGUUUACCAAAAACACAGGUCUCCGCUAAGUCGUAAGACGAUGUAUGGGAGCUGACGCCUGCCCAGUGCCAGAAGGUUAAAGAAGUUGGUUAGCAUUAGCGAAGCUGAUAACUGAAGCCCUGGUGAACGGCGGCCGUAACGAUAACGGUCCUAAGGUAGCGAAAUUCCUUGUCGGGUAAGUUCCGACCCGCACGAAAGGCGUAAUGAUUUGGAUACUGUCUCGGAGAGGGGCUCGGUGAAAUAGACUUGUCUGUGAAGAUGCGGACUACCUGCACCUGGACAGAAAGACCCUAUGAAGCUUUACUGUAACUUGAGAUUGAAAUUGGACUUUAUUUGCGCAGUAUAGGUGGGAGGCGUUGAGAAUAAUCUUGCGGGAUCGUUGGAGCCAUCAGUGAGAUACCACUCUUGUAAUGUUAGAUUUCUAACUUUGUAUCAUUAUCUGAUCAAAGAACAGUUUCAGGCGGGCAGUUUGACUGGGGCGGUCGCCUCCAAAGGGUAACGGAGGCGCACAAAGGUUUCCUCUGAACGGGUAGAAAUCGUAUCUAGAGUGUAAAGGCAUAAGGAAGCUUGACUGUGAGACCUACAAGUCGAGCAGGGACGAAAGUCGGUCUUAGUGAUCUGACGGUGCUGAGUGGAAAGGCCGUCACUCAACGGAUAAAAGUUACUCUAAGGAUAACAGGCUGAUCUCCCCCAAGAGUUCACAUCGACGGGGAGGUUUGGCACCUCGAUGUCGGCUCAUCGCAUCCUGGGGCGGUAGUCCGUCCCAAGGGUUGGGCUGUUCGCCCAUGAAAGCGGUACGCGAGCUGGGUUCAGAACGUCGUGAGACAGUUCGGUCCAUAUCCGGUGUAGGCGUUAGAAUAUUGAGAGGAGCCUUCUCUAGUACGAGAGGACCGAGAAGGACAUACCUCUGGUGUACCGGUUAUCGUGCCAACGGUAAACGCUGGGUAGCUAUGUAUGGAGUGGAUAACCGCUGAAAGCAUCUAAGUGGGAAGCCCACCUCAAGAUAAG
rnacentral:rRNA from 1 species